GGUGUCUUACAGAUAUUCAUCAAGAUAUUAUGACUUUCAGAAUCAAAAAAGGUCUUGCAUCUAAGAAUUGGAGUGUCUGAGCUUAAUGAGAUUUGAAUUGCAUUAGCUGAAAAGGAUGUAACAGAGUACUUUCCAAACCUAAGGAGCUGAGAGGCUGCUGUGAAUUGAGCAUCUGAAGCAAAGAGCAGAAAAAGGGAAGGA